GCCGCCCUAGCUCAGCCGGUAGAGCAACUGUUUUGUAAACAGUGGGUCGCCGGUUCAAAUCCGGCGGGCGGCUCCA
rnacentral:tRNA from 1 species